AGUCGGCGCUGGCGUAGCUCGGCUCAGCCCGGCGGAGUCUGACUUCCGGAGGGCCAGCGGCGCGCUGGCUGGUUACCAAGGUUACCGCCGAGAGGCCGCGUCCUCAGCUGGUCCUAGACAUGCGUGGCGUCGGGGCUGUGGCACGGUCGGGUCCGGGCUUGAAUGCACCAAGGAAAGGCCAUUUGUGGGGACAUAGCAAGAAGGCAGCUGUCUGCAAGCCAGGAGGAGAACCCUCACCAGAAACCUCACAGAAAUCGGCCAACACCCUCAUCUCGGGCUUCCAGCUUCAGAACAACGAGAAAACAAAUUUCUGUUGUGUCCUGGUUCCCAUUUGUAAUUGGCACCCUAAUGAAACCGUUUUCUGUAGCCCUGGAAAUGGCUGAAAAUGAGGGGAGGGAAAUAAAGUGCUAUAAUUCAGAGCAUGGAGCACACCUUCCUGGUUCACCUGAGCUGGAUUCGGAGAGGUAAAAUGGCCAUUACCUCGUCUAAGCUGCCACUUACAGACACAGUACAGGAUGAGGCCCAGACCCACAGAGACAACGAUGAUGGCCACAGCUAAGAUGAUCCAGAAAUUAUUCCUCCACCAGCUCAUUGCAGUGGAAUCCUGAGAAGAAUGGAGAGAGAAGAAUGAGCUUCUUGCAUGACUGCCUGAAAUCCGCCUCCUGUCAGAUCAGCAGGGGCAUUGGAUUAUGAUAGGAGUGAGAACACCAUUGUGGACUGCGCAUGCCAGGGAUCUAGGUUCCGCGCUCCUUAUGAGAAUCUGAUGCCUGAUGAUCUGUCACUGUCUCCCAUCACCCCCAGAUGGGACUGUCUAGUUGAAGAAAAACAAGUUCAGGGCUCCCACUGAUGCUACGUUACGGUGAGUUGUAUAAUUAUUUCAUUAUAAUUACAAUGUAAUGAUAAUAGAAAUAAAGGGCACAAUAAAUAUAAUGAGCUUGAAUGAUCCUGAAACCAUACUCUGCUGCUCCAUGGAAAAAUUGUCUUCCAUGAAAUCAGUCCCUGGUGCCACAAAACUAGUCCCCGAUGCUGCCCUAGAGUUUA
rnacentral:lncRNA from 1 species